rnacentral:lncRNA from 1 species
GUCACAUAUGCAGCAUAGAGGAGGACUGGCACAGAUGUUAGCUCAGGGACAAUCUUGCUCACCAAAAAAAAAAAAAAUUAUACUACUGGUGGUGAGCAUGAUGCAGUCUAUACAGAAGCUGAUAGAUAAUAACGUACACCUGAAAUUACACACCGUUAUAAGCCAUCAUCACCUCAAUACAAUCCUUUUGAUUACAUCACCAGCCGUCCGCGGCUGACCGCAGUCUCCAGCCCCUCUCCCCUCCCUGGAGGUGGCGCAGGCGGGUGGCCAGGAAGUUCCAACUCUAAUCGCAUGGCUGGCUCCACGGGUCACCAGCCCCCAUCCUCCGGUGCUUUCCCAAAGCGACCUCAUUAACAUAAGACAGCUGUGAGAGAUCUGAGGCAUUUGGGUGCAAAUUCUGGGCCGGCUCCUUAAGAAAGGAAGCAGGCAUAUGGGCUUUCUUGCCAUGUUCCCACUUUCUCCUGCUUCCUGCCCAGCCACAGAGGAGAUGGAGGAGAUGUCUGGCUCUCCGCAGCCUUCCCGGACCGUGAGGCUCAGCGAGGACGAAAGCCUCAAGCCGGCCAGAGCAGAGCGGCAGCCCAGGGCUGACUGCCCGGCUGGCUGCGGCCCGGCCCGGCUUCCCCGGCGGGAGAGAAGGCCCGUCCCGCCCCACGCGGGGCCGUGUCCGGCCUGUCCUCCGCCGCCGAGCCCAGGUCUGUCAGAGUCCAGUACCAGAACCGGGACGGCAGCCGGCACGGCAGCUCCCGGCGCCGCGGAACCGGGCGGGGGCCGUGAGGACCACCCGCCGCGGCGGGAAAGCUGGCGGCCGUCACCUGGCGGGAGCCGUGUGGUCUGGCUGCCCCCGCCGACGAGCCGGGCUCAGCGCAGACGGCGAGGGGCACGCGGCGGCCUCGGCGCGCGGGGCGACAGGAGGCAGGCGGCCCGGGGAGCCUGGGCGCGGGGCGGCGCCUGCCUCGGCCUGCGUGCGACGGGAGCCCGGCCGGCUGUCCCCAGGCAGCGGCGGGCCCGGGUGUCCAGUCCUCGGGCACACACCCAGGGUCAUUCCCCGAGUUCCGCUGCGCGCCGGCUGCGGGGACCCUCCUGGGGCGGCGUGCUGACCCCGAGGGACAGAGCCGAACGCGACACAGUCCCGCCUGAGGAGCGCCCAGCGCGGGCGGCAGGCGGGACCACCCGCGGCGUCAGCCUGGGGGCGGCGGGGACGCGGGGCGUGAGGUGACGUGAGGCGAGGCGGGGCGUGAGGUGACGUGGGGGUAGCAGGGACGCGGGGCGUGAGGUGACGUGGGGCGCGAGGCGGGGGCGUGAGGUGGCGGUGGGGGCGGCAGUGACGCAGGCGUGGGUGGCAGGGCGAGCGGCCCGGUGGCCCGUGUCGCGAGGCAGGGGCAGGCUGGCGGCCGGGCGGGCGCGCGUCUUCCGUGUGCCUGGGUCCCGGCUCUGCCGCCGGCUGCGGGGUGCCGGGCAGAGGCCAGGCCCCGAUGCCCCCGCGCGCCGUGCGCGCACGCAGUCCCCGGGUCGGAGGAGGGAGGCCAGGAGGCCGCUGGGCGCGGGAGCCCCGGGACAGCCGGGGGAGCUGGGGCUCGGUGCUGGCUCUGCCCGCCGCGCUGGGGCCCCCGGCUGCUCCCGAGGCCUCGCUCCCGCGGCCCGCAGCGGGCGCGGCCGGUUCUCCCCUGCGCGCGGGGCCGGUGUGAGGGCGGGACGCGGCGCACGCGCACCACGAGUCCGCCAGGGCCCGCGGACGGGGAGUUCAGAUCCCAGCUGGUGCCUGACCCCCGCCUCCCUCGUUUCCGAAACGCCUUCGUCUUUUCCUGUUCAGAGAACUUUCGAGAGACUUUCCAAGUUCUGCUCCGGAAGAGUGCGGCUCCCCGGGGUGCCAGCUGGCAUCUCCUGCAAUUAUCCUUAAAUUACAGGCGCAAUUUUAAUUUCACAAUAAUUAGAAGGGUCAACUGCAGCUCAAGCCGUCGAAACGAAUGGAAUUUUAAUGGGCAGCUGCUGAGGUUACAGCCGAGAAUAAUAACGCUGCCCGCCGGAGCCGGCCGGGGGAGCAGCGGCCACCUGGGAGGAGGGAAGCUGAGGUUUGCGAGCGGCGGGCCUCAGCGCGUCAGGGGGAGGGGACACCUACACUCCAGACUUUGCGCCCCACCUUCAGUGUACUUCCCCCUGAAAGAGGCAGCCCAGCCGGGCUCGCAGCCCUGAUGCUCAGAUCCGAGCGUCUUUCCACCCAGGGCCCGGAGCCCACCCACGGCUGGGCCCGCAGGGGCCCUCCUCCGGGCGGCGCUGCGGUCUGAGGGGUCUCAGAACUGCGGUCCGGUGUCCCGAAACGGUCGUUGGGCGGGUCUGGUCUGGUUUUCCGUUGUUCGCAGGCGGGGAGCCAUGAGGGCGUCUAGAGCUGGGGACAAUACAGCGUGGGGAGUGGAAGUUAACGGUGUCUGUGGUAGGCGGGGAUCUUCCCUUUGAUGAAAUCAAAAUGAUCCAGCUUAUUUUUCUUUUAGGGCUAGAGCUUAUUGUGUCCUGCGAAAUCUCCCCAAGGCCAUGAAGACAGUCUCCCACAUCCUGCUCCAGCGGCUGUGGUUCCGUUGGGUCUUUGAUCCAUCUCAGAUUCAUCGUUGUGCGUGACAGGAGUUAGAGCAUCGCGUUGUUCCAGCACCAUUUGUUCAAAGUCUGUCCCUUCCACCACUGAAUUUUUCUGGUGCCUUUGUCGAAAAUCAACUCACUGAACAGAGCUGGGUCUGUUGCUAGACUCUGAAUGAUUCCAUUGACGGGUAUGUUUACAUCAUCUAGAUUCCUGCAGCUUCAUAGACAGUCUUGAGGUCAGAUAGUGUAAAUCCUCCAACUUUGUUUUUGUCUAACAUUGUUUUGAUUAUUUCAGAUCUUUUGCAUUUCCGUGCAAAUUUUAAAUCAGCUUGUCAGUUUGUACCCAAAAAGCCUGCUGAAAUUUUGAUUGAGAUGGCAUUGAUCUAUAGAUCAACUUGAAAAGAAUUGACAUGUUAUCAAUCAAUAUUGAAUCUUGCCACUUAUGAACAUGGUCUCUCCUUGGAGAAGGCUAGUGCAUCCUUUAUUAAAUUUAAUCCUCACUAUUUUAAUUUUCCGGUUGUUUGUUGGUAGUAUAUGGAAAUAUAAUCGAUGUUUGUAUCUGUAGCCUGCAGCCGUGCUAAACUCACUUAUUAGUCUAAUAGCUUUGUAAAGAAAUUCCUUAGGACUUUGUAUGUGCACAAUCACCUUUUCUGUGAACAGAAGCGGUUUACUUCUUGCUCUCUAAUUUGUAUGCCUUUUAUUUCUUUUUCUUAUUUAUUCCUCCAGCUAGAACCUCCAGUAUAAUGUGGAAAAGAAGCUAUGAGAGCAGCAUUUCCUUAUUCCUGAUCUUAGGGGAAGAUACUCAGUCUUUCACCAAUGAGUAUGAUGUUAGCUAUAGAUUUUUCAUAGAUGCCUUUUAUCAAAUUCAGGAAGUUCCCUUUUACUUUUAAUUUGUUUAGGGUUUUUAAUUAUAAACAGGUAUUGAAUUUUGACAAAUGCUGUCUCUGCAUUUGUUGAGAUAUUUGCAAGAUUUUUCUCCUUUAUUUUGUUAAUGUGGUGAAUUACAAGGCUUGCUUUUCAAAUGUUAAACCAACCUUGCAUUCCUAGAAUAAGUCAUACUUGUUCAUGAUGUGUUAUUCAGUUUAGUAAUAUUUUGCUAAGGAUUUUUCCACCUAUGUUCACAAAGACAUGGGUCUGUAAUUUUCUUUUCUCAUGAUGUUCUUGUUAGGUUUUGGUAUCAGAGUUAUGCAGGCCUUAUAAAAUGAGUUCAACAGUAUUCCAUCUUUAUUUUCUGAAAAAGUUUGUGUAAGAAUGGCAUUAUUUUUUCCUUACGUGUUUGAUUUACUCCACCACCAUAUGGUGCUGGAGUUUUAUUUGUGGGUAAGUUUACAGAAAAUGCUGGCUUUUUACUUAAAGUUUUAUUAUGAAAAAUUUCAACCACUCAGAAAAAUGGACAGAGGGCCAGCCCUGUGGCCAAGUAGUUAAGUUCACAUGCUCCACUUUGGUGGCCUGGGGUUCGCCGGUUUGGGUCCUGGGCGCAGACCUAUAUGCUGCUUAUGGAGCCAUGCUGUAGUGGCGUCCCACAUAGAAGUAGAAUGACCUACAACUAGGAUAUAUAACUGUACUGGGGCUUUGCGGGAGGGUAAUAAAAAAGAGGAAAAUUGGCAAUAGAUGUUAGCUCGGAGCCAAUCUUCCUCUCCAAAAGGCAUAAAAAAAAAGAAAAAAAACAAUUUUAAAAAAAUAGAAAAAUGGACAGAAUUGUAUGACAAUCAUGUCCAUUUCUUAAAUUAACAUUUUAUUAUACUUUCCUUAUCAGAAACCCAUCUAUCUAUGCAUCACUCCAUCUUUUUUUUGGUGCAUUCCUAAGUAAGUUGUAGACAUCAGCACACUCCCCUUAAAGGUUCUUAAUUAUUCAGUUUUUUUAAAUCAACAUAGGGCUAUUUAGACUUUCUCUUUCCUCUUGUGCAAUUUUUGUUGUGUUUUUAAAGGACGUUUUCCAUUUUAUGUAAGUUGUCAAAUUUGUUGUUAUUAAGUUGCUGAUACUAUUCUCUUGAUAUCCUCUAAAUAUCUGUGGGCUCUGUAAUAAUAUUCCUGAUAUUGGUAGUUUGUGUUUUCUCUCUACUCUUCAUUAAUCUUACUAAGCGUUGAUACAUUUCAUUAACCUUUUUCAAAAACCAACUUUUGGCUCUUGUUUUUUCCUGUGGUUUGGCUGUUCUCUGUUUGAUUAAUUUCCACUUUUAUUUUUAUUUCCUUCCUUCUAUUUAGGUUUAAUUUUCUCUUUAUUUUCUAGCUUCUUAAUAUGGAGGCCUGGCCUGGAUCGUUCGUUUCAAACCAUCUUUUCUAGUAUAAGCAUUUUAAAUUAUAAAUUUAUCUCUAGAAGAAGUUAAGCUAUAUACCACAGUUUUUGACAUACUGUAUUUUCAUUACUAUUCAGUUAAAAAUAUUUUUCUAAUUUCCCUUGUGAUUUGAAAUUGCUUAUGAUUCCCUUAUGAUUAGAAGUGUGCUAGUUAAUUGUUAAAAGUUGAGUGCUUUUCUAGAUAUUGUUAUUGAUUUCUGUUGUCAGAGAACUUACACUGUAUGACUUCAAUCCUUUAAAAUAAUAUUUAUUUCACAGCCCAGCAUAUGUUCUCUCUUGGUAAAUGUUCUGUAUGCACUUAAAAAGAAUCUGUAUUCUGUAGCUGAUGAGUGUAGUCUUUUAUUCAUGUUUAUUAGGUUAGAUUGUUUGAUGGUGUUCAAAUCUUUUAAUCUUUUAUAUGAUUACUGAUUAUUUUGUCUUGUUUUCUCAUCAAUUCAUGAUAGAAAAAUGUUAAAAUAUUCAACUAUAAGUGUGGUUUUGUCUAUUAUUAUUUGUCUCCUUUUAAUUCUCACAGUUUUUGCUUCAAAUAUUUCAAGAUUUAGCCACUCCAGCUUUCUUAUUUUUCCACAUUAUUUCUUUUUGUGUCCUUUAAUGUUCAGUGUAAAUGUGUUUUUAUAUUUAAAGUGUGUCUCUGUUAAACAGACUAUAGUAGGUUUUGUUUUAUUUUAAGCCCAGUCUGACAUGGUCUGCUUUUUUUUUUUGAGGAAGAUUAGCCCUGAGCUAACUGCUGCUAAUCCUUAUCUUUUCACUGAGGAAGACUGGUCCUGAGCUAACAUCCAUGCCCAUCUUCCUCCACCCUAUAUGUGGGACGCCUACCACAGCAUGGCAUGCCAAGCAGUGCCAUGUCCACACCUGGGAUCUAAACCGGUGAACCCCGGGCCCCCGAAGCGGAACAUGAGAACCCAACUGCUGCGCCACCGGGCCAGCCGCUGCUCUGCCUUUUAAUUGGAAUGUUUAGCCCAUUUAUAGUUGAUGUAAUUAUUGAUGUAAUUAGGUUCAAGUUUACCUAUAAUCUUGCUAAUUGUUUUCUUUUUGUCCUAUUUGCUCUUUUGUUCCUCCUUUGUUGCCUUCUUUUUGAUUAACUGAUCUAAAAUUUUUAAAUGUUAUCUCCUCCAUUGGGUUUUUAGCUACAAUAUUCUUUGUACUGUUUUUUUAGAGGUUGCUCCAGGGAUUCCAGUAUGUAUCCUUAACUUACCUCAAUCUCUUUUGAAAUAUUAUACUACUUCAUGUAGAAUGUAAAGACUUUUCAAUAUAUAAUUCCAUUUCCUUCCCGUCUUUUGUGCUAUUGUUCAUAUAAUUUAUAUGUAUUUCUGUUAUAAACCUCAUAAUACAUUGUUGUUAUAUUUACUUUAAAUGUUCAAUUAUUCUUAAAGUAAUGAGGAAAAAGGAAAUGUAGUCUUUCAUAUUUACCUGCACAUUAACCAUUUCUAGUGCUCUUCAUUCCUUUGUAUAGGUCCAAGUUUCCAUCUCGCAUCAUUUCCUUUCAGCCUAAAGAACUUCUUUUAGCGUUUCUUGCAGCAUGAGUAUGCUAGCAGUGAAUUCACUCAGCUUUUGUGUAUCUGAAAAUGCCUUUAUUCUGCUUUCAUUUUUCAAGGAUAUUUUCACUGAAUGUAGACUUCUCAGUUGACGGUUUUUCCUCCCAGUCCUUUAAAGAUGUUUCUCUUUUGUUUUGGGGGCUUCCAUCAUUUCUGAUGAGAACUCUAACAUUUUUAUUAUUGUACUAGUGGAUGUAAUGUAUCUUUUUUUCUCUCAAUUCUUCUAAGAUUUCAGUUUUUAUUUUCAACAAUUUGUGUCUAGGUGUGUUUUCCUUGUAUGUAUCCCGCUUGGGGUUUGUUGAGUUUUUGGAUCUAUGGAUUGAUUUUUUAAAAAGUCAAAUUUGAGAAAAUUUUGACCACUAGUUCUUCAAAUAUGUUUUCCCAUUUUAUCUUUUUUGGGACUCCAGUUACACAUAUGUCACAUCACUUGAUAUUAUCCCACAGGUCACAAGCAAACACUCUUUUCAUUUUAUUCAAUCUUUUUUGCCUCCCCAUGAUUUAGUUUGGAUUAUUCACAUUUUCCUGUCUUCAGGUUCACUGAAAUUUUCUUUUGCAGUGUCCAGAAGCCUAGCCAAUACAUUUUUAUUUCACAUAUUAUGAUAUUGUAGUCUUCAGUUCUUGAAUUUCCUUUGAGAUUUUAGAAUUUUCAUUUCUCUUCCAAAAUAUCCAAUCUCUUUAUAUAUUAUAUCUCUUUUUAUCUGAAAAUUCUUCUACAUAAUCAUAAUAUUUUGUUACAUUGUAUGUCUGCUAAUUUCAAUUACUGGAUUAUCUGGGGUCUACAUCUUUUGGUUGUAUUUUCUCUUCAUUAUAGGUCAACGUUGUCUCCUUCACAUUCUUGUAAUUUUUUAUUUCAUUCCAAACAUUGUGUGUAAAUGAACAGUGGAGACUGAUAUAUAAUAUUUUGUUUUGAUUUUGUUCUGCUGAUUUCCCACAGAAUGUAAACUGUUUCCUCAGUUUGGGUGAGGGGCUCACCAUUCAGAUUCCCCCGAGUCAAGUUAACUGUGGGUCUGGAGCACAGCUUUAAUUGUGCUGAGUUCACCUGUGUUCAGCAGAACGCUCCACCUUCCUCUCACGGUAGCGUUUUUGAUCUUGUCUGUGUUUGAAGUAGGAGGAUAAGAACAGUUUCAGAUAUGUUGAGCUCACCUUAGAUUUAACUCGGGCAGAGCCCUGGAACCCCAGCACUGUGAGAAUGUGGAGGACCAGGUGAUUGUGCUGCGCUUUCCAGCCUCUCCUCACGCUUCCUUUGCCAAGUCUGCGUCUGAAUGGGAGAGGGUAGACUUGCUGGGGCUGAGUUACUUGUCAUCUAAGACUGGGCUGGUUUCUCUUCAUUCCUGCUCCUCCAUCUGCUAAUAUGUGGAUCAGACUCCUGUUCUAGACAUGGAUGUUGCCACCACUCUCUGUUCUCUAUGAAGAGCUUGUCUUAGGAAUUCAGUUCAUAAAAGUUUCUUUGUAUCUACUGGUCUACUAACCCCAUAGAAAAGUACGAUUAUUUUUUUUCUUGGUUUAUCUCAUUGCUACCAUGGGAGUGAGAGUCUUGCAUCCUGCUACACCCUAGGCGGAGGAAGAUGUCCCAUUUUCUCUCCUUCAUUAUGCUCCACAUUGAAAGUGCUCAGGCCAAGGCAAAAGACAAAUUAACGAGUCUGUUAAGUCUUUCCUCUCAGGUGGAGUGAAUGCCACAGGUUUCACAUAAUAGAAUACUGUUUCCCAAUAAUACUGAUGCUCAUUUGUCUUGCUUUUCCUCAUAUUUUUAUUUGUGAUUGUUUCCAGAGGUGGUCAGAAAUUAGCAGAGCAUUUACUAGAGUUUCACACAGCAGCUGCACAGCAUCCUGCAAUACUGAGCAUGCCUGUUACUCUUACAUUUACGUACAUGUUGGGCUAGACCAGAGAAGUGGCUACCUCUACUGCACAUUGGCAACAGAUGGACAUUGAACAUUGAAGUGGGAAUUGUUUUAUUUAAUAAGAUUUAAUUAAAUUUUGAAAAAUCAAAUAAAACAAUUUUACUUUCAUUUAAAUACUUUAAAAGAUUGUCAAGGGAAGGCUGUGAUAAUGGUGCUAUCGGGAUGUAUAAAGGAAAAGGUAAACAAGCCAAAAUUUUGGCCAGAAACCCGGAAGCUUUCCUGUGCCAACUAUGGCACAGAGUCGGAAUUUGUUAUUGGGAGACGUGGCUUAGAGGAUGCCAGCAGUGAUGACGUGCUUCGGAGUAGUUCAAAGAUGAUAUUUGAUAGUUCCUGCAUCUGCCCAAAGAUGGAACAUCUUGAUGAAACAUGGAUCAUAUUUGACACAUAAUCACCCUCAGAAACACAAAAAGAAUGUCAACUAAAUGCUGUUAAAGCAAUUAGAUUUAAUUUAUACAAGAUUCAAGCUGCUUUGGAAGAGUUAAGUGAAACAGCAGAGUAUCCUCAGAUAAAGAGGAAUUGUGAUCUUUAGAGGAAAAUGGAACUGGCUCUGUUCCAGUCGUUUGCUACGUUGAUCACUAUUGAAAACAUUAGGAAAAGCUUACAAAAAAGAAAAACAGGUUGACUAUUUCAUGCUUAAAAAUUACAAACUUUUUUAAUUGGAGAGAAAAUAGCUUUUCUCCAUGGAAAAAAACUGCAUGUGAAAUAAGCAACAAAAAUAGCAUUCUAGUAAAAUGUAAGGAAACCAGAGGAAGGAAAUGAAAAUAUUUGCAUGGUGGUGAAAGAGAUGAUUCACGUAAAGUAAUCUUAAUUCUAUCGAGAUUAUUUUCUGUCAUUUUAGAUUUAAGACAAUCUCAACUGGAGAGAUUUGAAUAAACAGUAAUAUUUUGGUAUUUUUGAAAUAGCACUGACAAAUUUUAAAUAACUUUAGAAAUACUGCAUGAAUCUAGAUAUAGUUUUAAGAGUUGUUGAAAAUCUUGCUAUGUUAUAGUGAUUUAUAUGAUGAAAUUAAAAGUAGUUUGUAAUAUUUUCUGUGAUAACAAUAAUGUUUCAUAACAAUAUUUGAACCUGAUCCAUAAAAUUUGUGGUUCUUUUCCAACUGUAAAUAUUUGCUUUAAGAAUUUUGGGGGGGGCCGGCCUGGUGGCGCAGCGGUUAAGUUCGCACGUUCCGCUUCUCAGCGGCCCGGGGUUCGCUGGUUUGGAUCCCGAGUGCAGACGUGGCCCCACUUGUCAAGCCAUGCUGUGGUAGGCGUCCCAUAUAUAAAGUAGAGGAAGAUGGGCACAGAUGUGAGCUCAGGGCCAGUCUUCCUCAGCAAAAAGAGGAGGACUGGCAGUAGUUAGUUCAGGCUAAUCUUCCUCAAAAAAAAAAUUUUUUUGACAGUUACGAUUGCUUCUGCCUCAGUAGAGAAAAGUUUCUCCAAGUUGAAAAUAUAACACAAUUAUGUGGAAAUCUGGAUUAUAGCAACAUAGUUAGAGAUUUUGCUGAAAUGAAUGCAGGAAAAGUUAGUUUUUGGAAUAAAUAGCAUAAUCAUUUGUGAAUAGUGCAUGUCUUUCUGUUGUUAUUCAUCCAGUCACAGUUGAC